AUUGAACGCCGGCGGCAGGCCUAACACAUGCAAGUCGAGCGGAUGAGGGAAGCUUGCUUCCCGAUUUAGCGGCGGACGGGUGAGUAAUGCCUAGGAAUCUGCCUAUUAGUGGGGGAUAACGUUCCGAAAGGAACGCUAAUACCGCAUACGUCCUACGGGAGAAAGUGGGGGAUCUUCGGACCUCACGCUAAUAGAUGAGCCUGGGUCGGAUUAGCUAGUUGGUGGGGUAACGGCUCACCAAGGCGACGAUCCGUAGCUGGUCUGAGAGGAUGAUCAGCCACACUGGAACGGAGAGACGGUCCAGACUCCUACGGGAGGCAGCAGUGGGGAAUAUUGGACAAUGGGCGAAAGCCUGAUCCAGCCAUGCCGCGUGUGUGAAGAAGGUCGUCGGAUUGUAAAGCACUUUAAGUUGGGAGGAAGGGUUGUAAGCUAAUAUCUUGCAGCUUUGACGUUACCAACAGAAUAAGCACCGGCUAACUCUGUGCCAGCAGCCGCGGUAAAAC
rnacentral:rRNA from 1 species